CACAUCCAGCAGUUCGUGCGCGUUGGGGGGCUGCUGCCCCGCCAGCGCGUUCAUCCUCGCCAGCCCCGGCGCCGCAAGCGGAGGCACCACUGAGCCCUUCGGCCGGCGCACGCCAGCGGCCGCCGAGAGCCACUGGGCCAGGAAGGGAGCGGGGCAGCGGCUGCAGCAGCGCCGCCCACUCUCCCGCUCACAACAUCGCCCCCCGCCAAGGCGCAGAUUUGCCCCCACCGACCGGCCGUCCUCGGCAGGCAGCCUUCUCGGCCGCACCACCUACACAGCCCUGCCACCCUCCACUCUCCGCCCCCGUCCCCAAACGCCCGCCUUGGCGCCCCUCCGAAACCCUGCCUUGGCAUGAGUUGCCCUCUCCAGCAGUAAUCCCAUCCCGCCGCAGCGUCGUCUCGCGUCCAACCCCCCCCCCCCCAAAAAAAGUAUCAAAGGAACAACUUGAUCGCGCCCCACUUCAGAAGCGAUGGUGAGGAUGGCUCUGCUGACAGCCUAGGAACACAUAGGAAACUGCCAUAUAGGAUGAUGCUGACACUCUCAAGGCUAUUGAAAAACAGAAGUCAAGCUACAGUGAAAACACAAAACACAUUGGAAGCCAAUCCUGAUGCAAUCUGCAGGGUCUGUAAUCAAGGGGUAUCUUCACUACCCUUCUUCAAGCAAGUUACACUCACCAAGUGCAGGAGAAUCCUUUCUUUGUUUUUUCCUCUCUACCUCCAAGAUUACAUAUAUGUGUGGUAUGGACAUUGCUAUAUAUGCAUCCUCAGGGGUGCUGAAGAGAACUGAGUAUUUUCUUAUUAAUCCAUACUAGACUUUUGUAUAAUUGAGGGCUAUGUUAUAAUGGCAGCAAGAUUAUGUUGUAACUUUAAUCUGGUUUAAAGUUGUGUUCUGAUUUAAGAAAAUAAAUCGUAUUGUAUUUGUUACUGUA